GCAUCUGUGGUCUGAGAUCAGUAUUCCACCCUUUCAAGGUUGAGAUCCGGGUUCGAGUCCCGGCAAAUAUA
rnacentral:tRNA from 1 species